CAGAAAGAGAGACAGAAAGAGAGAGAGAGAAAUAAAGAAAGAAAGAGAGACAGACAGACAGAAAGAAAGAAA